UUCCAGUGCCCAAUCACUCUUGCAGUGAAGAAUUUUUUUCCUGAUGUGUAACCCAAACUUCCCCUGCACAGCUUAAGAUAACAGCAGAACAGGCAGUUUCUUCACAAUAAACACUUGGUACUGCUGCUAACUUGUGCAGUCUGAACAAGCUGAGGUAUCCAAGCACUGAGAAAGCUGCAGUUUAAUCCAGUUGUAUGCAAUGGAACAUCUGGUUGAAAAUGGGAAAGAAAAUGCACUGCGAUUACUGUUUUCUACUGCUCCCUCACCUGGCCCUGCUCCCAGAGUCGGAGUGAUACUGGCAGUGCCACCCAUAAAUAUUGACAACUGAGGGAAGGAAAUGAAGACAUCUUCCAAAAAUGGAAGUUACAAAUGCUGCAUGGUAGAUAAGGGGCAUUCUCUGUUUUACGGAUUGGUUCUCCUGCUCGGGAAGUCAAAGAAAAAAUUCAGGUGAAGAAGAUCUGAACACAUUGCAAUUCAGCAUUCAAAGUGUUUUAGUACAUAAACCCUCUAUUUCUUUUGUUCUUGUAUUUUCUGAUAACCCUUCUAUCUCUGCUGUAAUCCCUGUGAAAAAGUUCUCAAGGUGAGAAAUAUCUGUAAUGUACAGCUCAAUUUUAGCUAAGCCCACCUUGGAGGAGGGGCAGGGUACACAAAGAGACCCCUUGAGAAUUUGUUCUUCUCAAUGUCCAGAUAAAACAUUUCUGUCUGUAUCAUGAAUAUGAGCUCAAACCCUCACCACACAUGUGUGCUUCAAGCUUUUUGCUCAUAAUCUUUGCAUAUAUAUGUCUGUUGUUGCUAACACUCAUUUCAGGGAUAACUAAACUGGACUUUCUCUAAAGCAGGACCCAGGGUUUUGCUUUGUUCUUGACUGUCUGGGCACACCAUUAGGCCUCAGUGCAUAACUCGUGCAAACACACAUGAUGAUACACACAUAUAUGUUAUGUAUAGUUGUACAAAUGAUAGUGAAUUUCAAAGCUUGUAUGUGUAACACAGGCCCUGCCUGAGAGUUUCUGAGCCAGUUUAAUCUCUCAACAGCCAUGUUGGCACAGAGGGGCAUAGCUAACAUUUCACUGCAGAGGGCCCCAUGACAGAGGUGUCAGUGCUGGCACCACAUGGAAGUGUCAGGGCAAUGCUGGACAGAUGCUUACGUGCACAGCUGUUAUCAGCUGCACUGGGCUGUGCUGCCUUCUCAGCUCUAGGAGGAGCUUAUCUGGAGGGUUAUGAUAUGGGCAAGUCUUACUCCUGAAUGCAUCCAGAGAAACUGUUUCAGUAUAAGAAGAAUUUUGCUUUUAAGGCAUAGAUCAAUUCAGUACAGACAAAUGCUUUGUUUUAGCCAAUUCCCUGCUCUUUUUUUCUGCAUAUUCCCUUUUGUGAAAUAGCUUUGCUAUUAAAGACAAAAGGCAUCUUGCUAAAUAUAUUAAUGCAGCAUGAA